rnacentral:lncRNA from 1 species
CUGUACCAUCUCGGACAUUUGGCCCAGCGCGCCCCCAACCCACCUCUCGUGCUGUUUGCCCGGCUGCACAACGUGCACGCGUGGACAAGUUGCCCAGCCCGCAAGGCACUAUUCAUCUUCCCAAAACCACCUCUCUCCUCUGGCUAUGCCCAUGUCGCCUCUCCCUCACCAAAACCGCUCGCCCAGCCGCCCAUGACGCUCCAGAUCAGCACCUUGCUGCUCGCCCUCGUCUUCCUGUAGCUGCUCGUCGUGCCGCCAGAUCGACGUCUGCUCGCUGCUGCCGUGUAGGUAAGCUCCAUGGCGUCCUCCCACUCCCACCUCGUCCCAGCGAGCUCACCCUGUGCCAUGUCGCGCUUUGCCUCAUCGUCUGCGUCAUGCCGCCAGUGAGCCGUCAUGCUGGCGAGCUGCUAGCCCGCCGAGCUCUCCUGCACGCGCGCCGUCAAUCGGCCCGCCCAGCCGUGCCUCCACCUCCCCAUCUGCUCACGGGUCCCAUGCGCUCGCCGUGGCACCAUCCACCGCGCCCCUCUCCUGCUCCACCGCCGCCGGCCAUGGCAGCACAGCGGCCACGCCCACCCCGACCGGUGGACUCCUUCCCCUUGCUGCUCGUACAUGGAAGAAACUGUCGGGCGCCGCUACCCUGCUCCACUGGCCGCAUCACCGUCGCCUGGCCAUGGCCGCCGACGCCGACGUGGUCCAUUCCAUUCCCUGGCCAGCAACUGACUCGCUUGAAUGCCCCUUGCGGUUAAUCGUACGCGUCAUGCAUGGGUGCAAGGAAAAGGCAUGCAAGUAGAAAUGCCCGUGGGCCCCAUGUUGCAUGUUGCAUGUCGUAUUCCCCUCCUGGCUGCAUGCGAUCAAGGGAAAUAGUCCUCCAAGGAUCCCAUGUGGAUGCAAAAUCCAUGACCAUCCUUGAGAUUUGGCUCGGACCAAUCACAACGCACCACAUCACUUUAAAUUUGCGGUUUAUUAAAUACAUGUUAGAGUUUAUGUUAAAUCCAUUUUAUUUUGUUCGGAUUGCGUUAGCUUAAUAAUAAUGUCGUGCACACAUUAAAAAUAUUGUUUUGUCGAGACCCAUGUUUUAUUUAUUUAGUUAAUUGUUAGUUCGUUCGUUGGUUAUUAAAAAAUAACAGUUAGUUAAAACUAACUUAUCGUUUUAAGCUACCCUUUUAUAAAUACAUGUUAAUGUGAUUAUGCCAAUUCAAAUGUUUUUUAAUUUAUUCUUGCUUAGUAUAAACGCGACAUUAGUUAGUCAUUCGCGUGUGUCGUGCGCACCGUUUUCGCGUGUCGUACACAUUGCCGCGUGUCGUUCGCGCAGUAUCGCGCGCUGUCCACGCGUGAUAUUAAACCCUUAGCUUAUAAUCUCUCAUGUCAGUUAAUUAGCUAUUUCUUUAAUCGUCCACUAUUAAAAUAGUAAGUUAGUCAAAACUAAGUGAUAAUCAAUUAAUAUAAUUAUGUUGAAUUAAAUGUUCUAACUAAUACUUGUUUAGCGUAAACUUGAUAACUUCUCGGCCGUAGCUCCAACUAUCGCGGUUAUUUUCCUCGCGUAAUCGUAGAAGCGCUCUCUAUUUUAUAUUGCUCGCUUUUAUAAUAUUUUAUCUUGUAUGGUGUAAUGUUCUUAUGCAAGUAUAUGUUUACUUGUGCCUAUUUGUAUUCGUUGCGCGACACGAAUAGACUAUGAUCCAUUCCGAGCUUCGAGGAAUCGACGAUCAAGCUUCGGCGACCAAGAGAUCAAACUCUUCAAGUUCUACAAGGCUGAAGACCCUGAGCAUAUGUUUGGUGAAGGCAAGUGUCCUCUGACACAUUAUGUCCCAUUUACAUUAUAAUUUAUUGUCUUGCAUACUAUGAACAACAUAAGGAUUGACUAGCUUUCUAUUUACCUUGUCCUUGAUUACCUUUUGAGUUACUAUGGUUAGCUUCAUGCUAGCGCUUUACUUUAAUCAAUGAACAUGAUGAGAUACAAUGAUGAUACUAUGGUUUUAUUCUGGAUAUGAUGAUAUACUUGUGGCAUUUAAGGGGACUCGAGUUGUUUCACGAGUGCCUCUCCGUAAGGACUGGUUCGUUGGAUUACCGCCCGGGAAAACAGUGCAACCAUGAGGGUGGAAUGAGACGCCCUUAGCUGAAUAAUUAGAGGAACUCGGGUGUAGUUCGCUUCGUCGUCGUGCCGUUAAUGGGGCUCGGUGUAUGCGACUCGCUUUGCCAAGGUUGGUUCGCCCCUUGGGGAGGAGUGCAUUGCAUUUAGGAAACCUAACGGGCGGCUACAGCCUUAGGGAAUCUUUGUAAAGGCUUCAUAGUGAAUCUCUAGCCAUUCACCUUGUAAGUGAAUAAGGGUCUAGCAAGCCUGGGCUAGAAAGGGAAUCACGACUUGUGGGUAAAGUGCGCAACCUCUGCAGAGCAUUAUGAAACUGAUAUAUCAGCCGUGCUCACGGUUAUGAGCGGCCAAGGGAGCUCCAUUGAUUAGAGACACAUUGAUCAGAGAUGUUCUGUUUACAGAUGAUGAUGAGGAUAAUGCUGGUUUCUAUUAUGAUUAUGGUUUCUAGUAUUCUUUCCGUUUGGAAAGGGUACUUUUGGGUUAACAACUCGAGUUAAUGUUAAAACCUGGCUCUCUACUAGUAAUAAUUACCAGAUCAACUAAAAGCAACUGCUUGAUCUUAACCCCACAUAAAGCUAGUCCACUACAGCCAAACAGGACAUUUGCUGAGUACGUUGUUGUGUACUCACCCUUGCUUUCACAAAACACCAGGUUGCCCUUGGUGCAAUCUAUGCUCAGGUAAAGAAGAAGGUGUCGAGGUGGAUCUCCAGGAGUUCCAGGACUUCGACGAGUUCGAGGAUUAGGCUUGCAACCUCCCCCAGUCAGCUGCCUGUGGUGGGUUGUUUACGAUGGCUACGUUUCGAUUCUGUGUACUUUGAUUUAUAUUAUGUAAAUGGCUCUAGUUUGUAAUAUUAUUACUUACUCUUUAUUGUAAUUCGAAGCAUUGUGUUAUGAUGAGUCAUUUAUGUAAUCGUUGUGUACAUGAAUUUCUGAUCAUGGCACGUACAUGGUUCACAUUCGGUUUACCUUCCAAAACCGGGUGUGACAUAAGUGGUAUCAAAGUCGUGCUGACUGUAGGACCGUUAACCUAGAGUAGCAUUAGCCGUUUUAAAGACUUAUUGACUAUUACUUCACCUCAUCCUUGAUGUUGCUUCAAAAUAUUAGUCAUAUUGACUAAUUCUAUGGUGUGCUCCUAUAUGCCUCCUUGCUAAAAAAGUAUUUUAUUCUAGUAUGGUCUAUACUUCUCUCAAUCUAUUAGAUCUGACCUCACUCUUGUGCUUGCGACAUAUUUGUAGGUGCCCCCUGACCAUAACUUUCUUGUCUUUCAGGAUUCUUUCCUUUUCUAUCGUUAAAUUCCCAACCUUUGACAAUAUUUAUUACAUUGGUAUUGACAUGCUACAUCUUUUAGAUUCUUCCAUAUCCCUUAAUUCAAAUACUUAACUCUAAAAAACUCUGUUGCCUAUUUAAACAUUCCAGUUUAUAUUUUCAUGACCUUCCCGUCUUUUGAGACCCCUUCCUAUUCCGUUGUGAAGCCGUCACCUGUUGGCUUUUUUUAUUCUCUUGGUCUUGGUACGCUCGUACCAUUUGAAUCUUGCAUACUAUUAUUUUUAUACAUGCUUACCUUUAUAUCUCAAUGCUUGUUUAAGACAUUCCGGUUAACAUGCUUUUGACCAGCCUUAUUUCUUGGUGAUCCAUGAAUGUCCGUUCUAUUUCGCACAUCCUUGAUGAUCUCAUCAUUUCUUUAUAACUUCCCUCGGUAAUAAUUUCAGUUACUUCAACCAUUUUGUUGGAAUCUUACCUAUCUUACCCUUGCUUGUUUUCUCCACUUCGUCAGUCUUGCCUUAACUUUGUCCAUGGUUAUGCUUUUCAUCAUUAUCACCUUUAUCCUUAUCACCUCUAUAUCUUACCUUGAUGUUUAUCUUAUACCGGUCUUUAGAAUAUUCUCUUUUUCAUCUCAAUCUGAUCAUUGUAUUGUACCUACUCUUCCCUUGGUCGUAUCCUCUUCUUUGUCACCUGCAAGUUUUUUUAACUCUAUCCUUUGUUGUGUUUUGUUUGUCAUUUCCUUUACCCUUCUCAUCACUCUAUCCUACCUUGUGAUUACAUUAUGUCUAUUAUCUAAAAUCUCUAAUCUCCCAUCUCAGUUCGAGAGUGGUGUUUUACUUAUUCCGCCCUUGUUCGUAACCUCAUCUUUGCCAUUUGCAAGUCUUGUCGUGAUCCCAUUCUUAGUUGUACUUGUACUGUUGGCUCUUCAAUGCCUUCAUCUUCUCUCGCAUACCCUUGUCUGUUAUCGCCUUUGACCCUUGCAAAAUUGAUGUCUUCUACUUGAAUGCUUACCUUGAACUUAUCCUUUAAAAGUCUCCCCUUUCUUUCAACCUAGUUUGAGAGUUGCGAGUUACCUAUCUCUCCCUUGAUUUCUUUUCACUCCUUGUCACCUUACAAGUUUUGUCUUAAUUCCAUCCUUUGCUGUGUGUUUUAUUUGCUUCACCAUUACCUUGUCAUCCAUUGGUCUUGCCUUAAUACUUAUCUUUAUUCUUGCUCCUUAAAAAUCUCCUCUUUUCCACCUCAAUUUGAGAGUGGCAGUUUACCUAUUUGGCCCUUGGACGUACCCUCUCCUUUUCCAUUUGCAGGUCUUGUCUUAACUUCAUCCUUUGUGGUAUUUAUAUUCUUGGUUCUUAUGCACAUUUACCUCCUCUCCUACAUCCUUGUCCGUUAUCACCUUUAAACUCUCGUGAUACCUAUGCCCUUGCCCACAUGCUUACUUUGAACCUACCCUUUAAAGCCUCCUCUUUUUCAUCGCUGUUUGAGGAUAAUGCCUCACCUACUUCACCAUUGAUUGCUUCCCCUUCUUUGAUGCCUUGCAAGCUUUGCCUAAAAUACAUCCUUUGUUGUGUGUUUGUUCAUAAUCACCUUAACCCUUGUCAUCCCUCGAUCUUUACUUUGAUGCUUAUCAUGUACCUGCAUUUUAAAGUCGCCUUCCCCAUUUCAUUUCAAGAGUGUCUGUUCCCUUUUCCUCUGUCGCGUUGCAAGUCUUAGCUUUUGCUCGAUAUCACCCUUACCUUCCUAAUAUCUAGAUCUUUCCAUGAUGCUUAUCCUAUGCCUACCUUUUGAAAUAUCAUCUUUCCCAUCUCGAUUUGAGAAUGGUGUUUUACCUACCCUGCCCUUGGUUGCAUUUUCUCCCUUGUCGAUUACAAUCCUUGCUUUAGCUCCAUCCUUUAUUAUGCUCAUGCCCCUACCCUACAUGUCUUAUUAUUCCCCUUGCCUUUCGAUGGCCUUAGAGUAGUAUCCCCUUUUUAAGGAAAGACCACCAUCUAGUUAACAUUAACGUAUAGCAACGAGAUGUUUGUUGAUGUGUUCUCAUGAUGUUUGUCCUUCUGCUAUGACUGAUUUGCUUCUUUGGAAUGAGUGUUGAUGUGUUGUGGCCCUUGGUUCGCAAUGACAUCUGUUUACUAGGUGAGUGUCGUAGAGUUAAGUAGUUGGGUUCUCCCCCUGCUCUCUCUGAUCCGUCUGUACUUACCUUUUCUCGCUAUUCUUUCCUCUUGCGCCUAUCCAUUUGGCAACCUCCAACUCCUCCAAAUCAGUCAAGAUCAGAGUCGGCAGCAUCUUCAUCAAGUGUGUAUCAAUGCUCCUAUAAAGGGGUUAGCCGCUAACCCCAAUGAAGACAACGCGAUCAACAUCAACCAACAAGAUCAGAGUGGCACAACGAAAGCGUGUGUGGGUCCUAACCCACAGGUCCAAGAGAUCCUCAAGAAUUGCAUCAAUCAGUCUCAAUCAUCUAAAGGUCAAAGCAACCGGUCCGCAAAUUAAAGUUGCCAGAGUCAAAGUCGAGUUAGAAGAAGCUAUGAAAGACCGAUGAACCAAUCUCAUUUUCUUGCUUGCCUCUUCUUGAAUCUCGAGGGCGAGGUUUCUGUUAAGGGGGUUAGAUUUGUAACACCCUGAAUUUGGGGUGUAAAAUUUCUUUUUUCUAAUAUCCACCAAAUUCAGGUGUUACCCUCUCUUUUCCUUGCUUUUCUAUUUUUUUAAUAAUGAAGUGUUAUUUUGUUAACGUAAGCCUACUGAAUUGAACCCUAGGGAAGCUUUGUGUGCUGCAUUUCAUGCUGAAGCAUAGUUUUGAUUGCUAUCGCAUUUAGUUUUAUUUAAAUUAUUUUGGGCUGGAUCUAAUAUAUAUUUAAUUUCUACUAUUCCUAUAUAUACGAAAAGAAGAGAAAUAAAAAAGAAGAGAAAAGAAUUAAAAAAAAGAGAACGGUCGUUCAGCCCAUCUCCCUGAACCACCAUGCUCUCAUCUCCCCUCACUCUCUCAUUCUUACAGGUGGGCCCAUGCGUCAUCUCCUCCACUCCUCCCUCUAUCUCCAUUGUGAUUCCCUUUCCUGCUCACGUCGUUGGCGGUUCCAAGUUUCCCCGACGAGCACGCCCUCUCUCCCUGCGCGUCCGACCAUCCCAGGACUAUCUCCCACGCCUGUCUCUCCUCUCCCCUCAGAGUUGUAGUGGUCGUUCGGCUCGAUUGCCUGGCGCGACGGAGCAGCACGAUCCGUGGCCAGCUCAUCUGCCCAGCGCGGCAGCCUCGGCUCGGCGGCCCACGACCUACCAACGCAGCGGCGCGCUGGCUCGGUGCGACAGCCUUCACAGCUCGCCCACAGCGACGUGACGACCCAGGCGUGGCCAUGGCACGUAGGGCCCACCACGCCCCAGCUCAGCAGCGCACCCUCCCCCUCGACCCACCCUGCGCAACCGCAGCCGCUGCCCCUGCCCUGGACCAUCUCGGCCAUUUGGCCCAGCGCGCCCCCAGCCCACCUCUCGUGCUGUCUGCCUGGCUGCACAACGUGCACGCGUGGACAAGUUGCCUAGCCCGCAAGGCACUAUUCAUCUUCCCAAAACCACCUCUCUCCUCUGGCUAUGCCCAUGUCCCCUCUCCCUCACCAAAACCGCUCGCCCAGCCGCCCAUGACGCUCCAGAUCAGCACUAUGCUGCUCGCCCUCGCCUCUCUGGAGCUGCUCGUCGCGCCGCCAGAUCGACGUCUGCUCGCCGCUG